rnacentral:lncRNA from 1 species
CUCCUCCUACAGGGGCACCACCACCUGCUCCAAGCUCACAGCCCAACCCCUGAGAGAGCUAAGGCACGGCAAUUUGCUGGACCCUCUCACUGGGUACUAGUCCCUGCAUCUUUUGUGGAACCUGUCUUUCCACCACCCCUGCAGCCCUGGUGGGCAGGUCAGUGGGGCACCCUACUCUGGAAGCAGCCAAGACCAAGCUGACUUCUCUCCCUGGAAUUUGAGUGUUGAGCAGAGAGAUGCAGGAACUGAAAAUAACCGGAGCUGAUUCACCCAGGCGUGAACACCCUAAAGAAGGAAACUGUUGUCUGCUCUCUCUAUCCCCUCAGCUGCCCUGGUUCUCAGCCUUCCCAACACCUGUGUUUACUUUGCAUUCCAUUGUAUUAGCAAAUCCAUAUUCUUCCAAUAAAUUUCCUUGACCCUUCCCCAAAGUUACCCUAGAGUCUACUUCCAUUGUUCACAACCAAAAAAAAAAAAAAAAAAAAAAAAAGGUUUAAGUUCUAAUUCUCUCAAUAACUUAUUUUUCUUUUCUUUUCUCUCUCUCUCUUUCUAGGGCUGUACCCGCGGCCUAUGGAGGUUCCCAGGCCAGGGGUCGAAUUGGAGCUGUAGCCGCCAGCCUACACACAGCCACAGCUAUGUGAGAUCCAAGGAUCCAAGCCACAUCUGUGACCUACACCACAGCUCACCAUAACGCCGGAUCCUUAACCCACUGACGAGGCCAGGGAUUGAACCACAUCCUCGUGGAAAGUAGUUGGGUUCCUUACUGCAGAACCUCAACUGGGAACUCCCUGUUUAUCUUUCCUUUAACGAGAUGUUACCCUUCAAUUGAAAGGAAACUGUGUAACAGUGAAACCUCUAAAUAGUUGGUUACAGCAACAAAUAAGAAAGCCUUUUGGGGGGAGGGGCAGGAAGAUGGGGAAGGAUGGGCAAACAAGGAGAGGUCUUUAUACACAGUAUUUUACCAUGGGAUCGUCAUCAUUCGGUUCUAAACAAGGUCGGUCCCCUAGAAGGCAUUUCUUCGGCCUUUGCCUUGCUUCAAGAAGGCCUGAACCUCACCACUCUUUGUCACAGCUCUCCCAGACAAGCACCUGUGCUGCGGGCAGCCCGGCCUCGGGUGCUGUUUCACGAGCUCCCGUCCAUCUUUGGGCUCUGGGCUGAGCGCGCAGCCUCCUGCUGGAGGAAAAGAGACUCCCCCGAGGGAACCAUCGCCUCGCUGCGGAGCUGAUGGAUGCGUUUCCUUGGGCUCGCCAGCAAGGACGCGGCUCCCCAGGGUACCUGGCAGCCGCUGUUUGCCUGGGGACGUUAUUUCUCUGAUUGCGGGAUGGGAACAUAAAGCAAAUUGGAUGGAAGCGGCUGGAAUCUGAGCCCAGGAGCUUCUCAGAUAGGUUUAGGGUGUGUUUAUGAUGCAGGGACCCCCGCGGUGGGGCGUUGUCGGUAAUGGAGUCACCGAGACGGGUGUAGCUGCGCUGGUUAGAGGCGCGGCGCGUUUAAAGAGAGACGAGAUAAUAAUUCCACGAACCCAAAUUUGUCAAAAAGGAAAAGCCUUUCCAGUCACAGCGACUCAAAGGUGUGACUUUUAAAGGCAUCAACCCAGACACACGCAUGACCUUGCC